CCAUUUCCUACGGGAGUGUGAUGAAUCAUAAUAAUUGAACGAAUCGCAGAGUUCUGCGAUAAAUCAUUCAAGUUUCUGCCCUAUCAGCUUUGGAUGGUAGUGUAUUGGACUACCAUGGCAGUCACGGGUAACGGAGAAUUAGGGUUCGAUUCCGGAGAGGGAGCCUGAGAAACGGCUACCACAUCUACGGAAGGCAGCAGGCGCGCAAAUUGCCCAAUCCCGACACGGGGAGGCAGUGACAAGAAAUAACAACUCUUGGAUUUCUAAGAAGUGUAAUGAGGAUAAUUUACAACCCUUACCGAAAGCAAUUGGAGGGCAAGUCUGGUGCCAGCAGCCGCGGUAAUUCCAGCUCCAAUAGCGUAUAUUAAAGUUGUUGCAGUUAAAAAGCUCGUAGUUGAAGUUCUGAUUGUUCGGGCCUCGCGCUUUAUAGCCGAGGAACCGACAGUCAUCCGCUUGCAAAUAUAUGUUCGCCUUUAACCGGGUGGCUAUAUGAGUAAGCAAUUUACCUUGA
rnacentral:rRNA from 1 species